UACAGAGGGUGCAAGCGUUGUUCGGAAUUAUUGGGCGUAAAGGGCAAGUAGGUGGUCCCAAAAGUCUACUGUGAAAUCCCUGGGCUUAACCCAGGAACUGCGGUGGAAACUUUGGGACUUGAGUACUGGAGGGGUGCGUGGAAUUCCCGGUGUAGCGGUGAAAUGCGUAGAUAUCGGAAGGAACAUCAGUGGCGAAGGCGACCGCCUGGCCUAAGACUGACACUGAGGCACGAAAGCGUGGGGAGCAAACAGGAUUAGAAACCCUGGUAGU
rnacentral:rRNA from 1 species